CCGAAGCGGGGGAUAACAUUUGGAAACAAGUGCUAAUACCGCAUAAUUAGUUGGAACCGCAUGGUUCCAACUUGAAAGAUGGCUCUGCUAUCACUUUGGGAUGGACCCGCGCCGUAUUAGUUAGUUGGUGAGAUAAAAGCCCACCAAGACGAUGAUACGUAGCCGACCUGAGAGGGUAAUCGGCCACAUUGGGACUGAGACACGGCCCAGACUCCUACGGGAGGCAGCAGUAGGGAAUCUUCCACAAUGGACGAAAGUCUGAUGGAGCAACGCCGCGUGAGUGAUGAAGGUUUUCGGAUCGUAAAACUCUGUUGUUAAAGAAGAACAAGUGUUAGAGUAACUGUUAACACUUUGACGGUAUUUAACCAGAAAGCCACGGCUAACUACGUGCCAGCAGCCGCGGUAAUACGUAGGUGGCAAGCGUUGUCCGGAUUUAUUGGGCGUAAAGCGAGCGCAGGCGGUUUUGUAAGUCUGCUGUGAAAGCCCUCAGCUCAACUGAGGAAGUGCAGUGGAAACUACAAAACUUGAGUACAGAAGAGGA
rnacentral:rRNA from 2 species